rnacentral:sRNA from 1 species
GCACCGCACGUCGCGUGGU